GAUGAACGCUAGCGGGAGGCCUAACACAUGCAAGCCGAGCGGUAUUGUUUCUUCGGAAAUGAGAGAGCGGCGUACGGGUGCGGAACACGUGUGCAACCUGCCUUUAUCUGGGGGAUAGCCUUUCGAAAGGAAGAUUAAUACUCCAUAACAUAUUGAUUGGCAUCAAUUAAUAUUGAAAGCUCCGGCGGAUAGAGAUGGGCACGCGCAAGAUUAGCUAGUUGGUGAGGUAACGGCUCACCAAGGCGAUGAUCUUUAGGGGGCCUGAGAGAGUGAUCCCCCACACUGGUACUGAGACACGGACCAGACUCCUACGGGAGGCAGCAGUGAGGAAUAUUGGUCAAUGGGUGCAAGCCUGAACCAGCCAUCCCGCGUGAAGGACGACUGCCCUAUGGGUUGUAAACUUCUUUUGUAUAGGGAUAAACCUACCCUCGUGAGGGUAGCUGAAGGUACUAUACGAAUAAGCACCGGCUAACUCCGUGCCAGCAGCCGCGGUAAUACGGAGGGUGCAAGCGUUAUCCGGAUUUAUUGGGUUUAAAGGGUCCGUAGGCGGACUUAUAAGUCAGUGGUGAAAGCCUGUCGCUUAACGAUAGAACUGCCAUUGAUACUGUAAGUCUUGAGUAUAUUUGAGGUAGCUGGAAUAAGUAGUGUAGCGGUGAAAUGCAUAGAUAUUACUUAGAACACCAAUUGCGAAGGCAGGUUACCAAGAUAUAACUGACGCUGAGGGACGAAAGCGUGGGGAGCGAACAGGAUUAGGUACCCUGGUAGUCCACGCCGUAAACGAUGCUAACUCGUUUUUGGGCUUUAGGGUUCAGAGACCAAGCGAAAGUGAUAAGUUAGCCACCUGGGGAGUACGCUCGCAAGAGUGAAACUCAAAGGAAUUGACGGGGGCCCGCACAAGCGGUGGAUUAUGUGGUUUAAUUCGAUGACACGCGAGGAACCUUACCAAGACUUAAAUGGGAAUUGACAGCUUUAGAAAUAGAGCUUUCUUCGGACAAUUUUCAAGGUGCUGCAUGGUUGUCGUCAGCUCGUGCCGUGAGGUGUUAGGUUAAGUCCUGCAACGAGCGCAACCCCUGUCACUAGUUGCCAUCAUUCAGUUGGGGACUCUAGUGAGACUGCCUACGCAAGUAGAGAGGAAGGUGGGGAUGACGUCAAAUCAUCACGGCCCUUACGUCUUGGGCCACACACGUAAUACAAUGGCCGGUACAGAGGGCAGCUACACAGCGAUGUGAUGCAAAUCUCGAAAGCCGGUCUCAGUUCGGAUUGGAGUCUGCAACUCGACUCUAUGAAGCUGGAAUCGCUAGUAAUCGCGCAUCAGCCAUGGCGCGGUGAAUACGUUCCCGGGCCU
rnacentral:rRNA from 1 species